rnacentral:rRNA from 1 species
AUGCUAAAAGUGGUAAAUUUACCUCCUGCCAUGUUUUCUCCGGGGAUUGUGGCAUGCACCUCCGGUUCGUCUAAUUUAUGCACGGAGAACUUUGUCUUUGUUCAAAUUGUGGGUUCAUGGCAAGAGAUUGAUCCAGAUGAGUACUCAUACGAGGAAUUAGUUGCAUUGGGCGGAGUGGUUAGUACAGAAAGUAGAGGUCUCUCUGCUGAUACACUUGCUUCCUUACCUUCAGUAACUUACAACACAAAAGACAUGCAAGACGGCAACACAGAACAAUGUGUAAUUUGUCACGUGGGAUUGGAGGAAGGUGAAUCCUUGGUUGCACUUCCCUACAAGCAUUCAUAA